AUGCUGCAGCUGUUCCGAGCAGCGACUCUGGCAGUCCUUGGGGCUUUGUGUGUGUAUGGCGCAGGACACCUGGAGCAACCUCAGGCUUCCAGUACGAAAACACGGUCAAAAACAGCCCGCCUGGAAUGCGUGGUGUCUGGAGUAACAAUUUCUGCAACAUCCAUUCACUGGUAUCAAGAGAGACCUGAUCAAGCCAUGCAGCGCUUGGCAUACGUGUCAUCUGACAAUGCUGUCAAAAUAGAAUCAGGCAUUAUGCCAGGCAAAUAUGAGGUAGACAAGAUAUCCGAAACUUCUACAUCGACCCUCACCAUUCACAACGUAGAGGAACAAGACUCAGCCACCUACUACUGUGCUCUCUGGGAUGUGCACAAUACGGGUUUUUAUUUUGUUUUCAUAAUUGAGGGCACUGAGUGUCAGACAGCAGCAACAUCUGUGGAGACUCCUCGCCUGACGGUGGAGGACUACUGUGCACAUGCCGUCAUUCCUGUUGUGGUUGGCAUCCUCACGGGGCUCGCAGCUUGA